AUUUCCGACCUCCUGCUCUCCCUCUGCGACUGUUGCGUGCCAGACACGCAGCUUCGUGGUAGUAGCGUGCUGGAUCCAACAGGGAAUUCCUUUGAGUUUCUGCUCUUUUUGUCUUAUGAAAACACCUGGCAGUAUUAUGGUGGUGAUGGAACACGCCAGUAUGUGAAAAGAGGUCACCAGCAGGUCUGGCACAGAAGUAGUCCUCAGAAAUCUUUUGAAGUGUAGAGAACACAGCCAUAGGAAGCAACCAUG